GAUGAACGCUGGCGGCGUGCCUAAUACAUGCAAGUCGAGCGAACAGACGAGGAGCUUGCUCCUCUGACGUUAGCGGCGGACGGGUGAGUAACACGUGGAUAACCUACCUAUAAGACUGGGAUAACUUCGGGAAACCGGAGCUAAUACCGGAUAAUAUAUUGAACCGCAUGGUUCAAUAGUGAAAGACGGUUUUGCUGUCACUUAUAGAUGGAUCCGCGCCGCAUUAGUUAGUUGGUAAGGUAACGGCUUACCAAGGCAACGAUGCGUAGCCGACCUGAGAGGGUGUUCGGCCACACUGGAACUGAGACACGGUCCAGACUCCUACGGGAGGCAGCAGUAGGGAAUCUUCCGCAAUGGGCGAAAGCCUGACGGAGCAACGCCGCUUGAAUGAUGAAGGUCUUCGAAUCGUAAAACUCUGUUAUUAGGGAAAAACAAAUGUGUAAGUAACUAUGCACGUCUUGACGGUACCUAAUCAGAAAGCCACGGCUAACUACGUG
rnacentral:rRNA from 1 species